rnacentral:rRNA from 1 species
GAUGAACGCUGGCGGCGUGCCUAAUACAUGCAAGUCGAGCGAAGAGGGGGCGGGUGAGUAACACGUGGAAACCCUCCUCUAAGACUGGGAUAACUUCGGGAAACCGGAGCUAAACCGGGUACUUAUACCUGGAUCCGCGCUGCAUUAGCUGGUGGGUAAGGUAACGGCUUACCAAGGCAACGAUGCAUAGCCGACCUGGGAGGGGGACCGGCCACACUGGAACUGAGACACGGCCCAGACUCCUACGGGAGGCAGCAGUAGGGAAUCUGCGGCAAUGGGCGAAGGCCGGAGAGAGAAACGCCGCGUGAGUGAUGAAGGUUUUCGGAUCGUAAAACUCUGUUAUCAGGGAAGCGGUACCUAAUCAGAAAGCCACGGCUAACUACGUGCCAGCAGCCGCGGUAAUAC